GUGAACGCUGGCGGUAGGCCUAACACAUGCCAGUCGAACGGCAGCACCGUAAGAGCUUGCUCUUACGGGUGGCGAGUGGCGGACGGGUGAGGAAUACAUCGGAAUCUACUUUUUCGUGGGGGAUAACGUAGGGAAACUUACGCUAAUACCGCAUACGACCUACGCGUGAAAGCAGGGGAUCUUCGGACCUUGCGCGAUUGAAUGAGCCGAUGUCGGAUUAGCUAGUUGGCGGGGUAAAGGCCCACCAAGGCGACGAUCCGUAGCUGGUCUGAGAGGAUGAUCAGCCACACUGGAACUGAGACACGGUCCAGACGCCUACGGGAGGCAGCAGUGGGGAAUAUUGGACAAUGGGCGCAAGCCUGAUCCAGCCAGACCGCGUGGGUGAAGAAGGCCUUCGGGUUGUAAAGCCCUUUUGUUGGGAAAGAAAAGCAGCAGGUUAAUACCCCGCUGUUCUGACGGUACCCAAAAAAUAAGCACCGGCUAACUUCGUG
rnacentral:rRNA from 1 species